rnacentral:rRNA from 1 species
AUUGAACGCUGGCGGCAUGCCUUACACAUGCAAGUCGAACGGCAGCACGGGAGCAAUCCUGGUGGCGAGUGGCGAACGGGUGAGUAAUAUAUCGGAACGUGCCCAGUCGUGGGGGAUAACGUAGCGAAAGCUACGCUAAUACCGCAUACGAUCUAUGGAUGAAAGCGGGGGAUCGCAAGACCUCGCGCGAUUGGAGCGGCCGAUAUCAGAUUAGGUAGUUGGUGAGGUAAAGGCUCACCAAGCCGACGAUCUGUAGCUGGUCUGAGAGGACGACCAGCCACACUGGGACUGAGACACGGCCCAGACUCCUACGGGAGGCAGCAGUGGGGAAUUUUGGACAAUGGGCGCAAGCCUGAUCCAGCAAUGCCGCGUGCAGGAUGAAGGCCUUCGGGUUGUAAACUGCUUUUGUACGGAACGAAACGGCGAACUCUAAUACAGUUUGCUAAUGACGGUACCGUAAGAAUAAGCAC